rnacentral:misc_RNA from 1 species
GAUGAAGAACGCAGCGAAAUGCGAUAAGUAAUGUGAAUUGCAGAAUUCAGUGAAUCAUCAAAUCUUUGAACGCACAUUUCGCCCGGUAGUAUUCUGCCGGGCAUGCCUGUUCGAGCGUCAUUUCAACCAUCAAGCCCCAGCGCUUGUGUUGGGGGCCUGCGGCUGCCGCAGCCCCCUAAAAGCAGUGGCGGGCUCGCUAUCACACCGAGUGCAGUAGUUCAUCUUCUCUCCGGUCUUGUGAGGCGGGUUCCGGCCGUGAAACACCCCACUACAUUCAAGGUUGACCUCGGAUCAGGUAGGAAUACCCGCUGAACUUAAGCAUAUCAAUAAGCGGAGGA